rnacentral:rRNA from 1 species
GACGAACGCUGGCGGCGUGCUUAACACAUACAAGUCGAACGGAAAGGCCCUGCUUUUGUGGGGUGCUCGAGUGGCGAACGGGUGAGUAACACGUGAGUAACCUGCCCUUGACUUUGGGAUAACUUCAGGAAACUGGGGCUAAUACCGGAUAGGAGCUCCUGCUGCAUGGUGGGGGUGGGAAAGUUUGGGCGGUUGGGGAUGGACUCGCGGCUUAUCAGCUUGUUGGUGGGGUAGUGGCUUACCAAGGCUUUGGCGGGUAGCCGGCCUGGGAGGGUGACCGGCCACAUUGGGACUGAGAUACGGCCCAGACUCCUACGGGAGGCAGCAGUGGGGAAUAUUGCACAAUGGGCGGAAGCCUGAUGCAGCAACGCCGCGUGCGGGAUGACGGCCUUCGGGUUGUAAACCGCUUUCGCCUGUGACGAAGCGUGAGUGACGGUAAUGGGUAAAGAAGCACCGGCUAACUACGUG